ACCAGGCGUGGUGGCACGCGUCUGUAGUCGCAACCACCUGGAAGGAAUGCUUGAGCCUGAGAGUUCUGUGCUGUGCUGUGCUAUAUCAAUCAGGUGUCUGCACUAAAUUUGGUAUCAAUAUGGCGGUCUCCCAGGAACAGGGGACCACCAGGUUGUCUAAGGCGGGGAUGAAGUAGCACAGGUUAGAAAUGGAGCAAGUCAAAACUCUUGUGCUGAUCAGUAGCAGGAUUAUGCCUGUGAGUAGCCACUGUACACCAGCCUGGACAACAUAGCAAGAC
ensembl:misc_RNA Metazoa_SRP Metazoan signal recognition particle RNA